GCCCCAGUAGCUCAACGGAUAGAGCGGCGGACUUCUAAUCCGUAGGUUGGGGGUUCGAUUCCCUCCUGGGGUA
rnacentral:tRNA from 1 species